UUUGAUACUAUUGAUCAUAACAUAGUGAUGAAUAAACUGGAGAGAUAUGGUAUAAGAGGGUUAGCAUACACAUGGAUGAAAAGUUAUUUAGAUGACAGAUAUCAAUAUGUGCAACUAAAUAAUGUAAAAUCAAAUCAUCAAAACGUCAUAUUUGG